rnacentral:tmRNA from 1 species
CUCUAUGCUGCCUCCCUCAUUGGUCUGCCGGUGAUUCCGAUUGAAGGUCGUGGCUCAAUCGUCGUAUAGAACGGGAUCGCAGCAAUACGCGCCUGGCGUUGCGCUGUUAAAUCCUUCCAGGCUCGCCCUGCUCGCCCUGCCCGUCGGGUAGAACAAGGGCUAACUCAAUAGACGACGCUAAGCAUGUAGAUCUUCAGGCCGCGAACUGACGGACGGGAGUUCAACUCUCCCCGCCUCCACCA